CAUAGCUCAGGAUGAACGCUAGCUACAGGCUUAACACAUGCAAGUCGAGGGGCAGCAUUGGAGUAGCAAUACUCAGAUGGCGACCGGCGCACGGGUGAGUAACACGUAUCCAACCUGCCGCUUACUCGGGGAUAGCCUUUCGAAAGAAAGAUUAAUACCCGAUGGUAUAAAGAGUUCGCAUGUUCUCUUAUUAAAGAAUUUCGGAAGCGAUGGGGAUGCGUUCCAUUAGAUAGUUGGCGGGGUAACGGCCCACCAAGUCUACGAUGGAUAGGGGUUCUGAGAGGAAGGUCCCCCACAUUGGAACUGAGACACGGUCCAAACUCCUACGGGAGGCAGCAGUGAGGAAUAUUGGUCAAUGGACGAGAGUCUGAACCAGCCAAAAGUAGCGCGAAGGAUGACUGCCCUAUGGGUUGUAAACUUCUUUUAUAAGGGAAUAAAGUGAGGGACGUGUCCCUUUUUGUAUGUACCUUAUGAAUAAGGAUCGGCUAACUCCGUGCCAGCCGCCGC
rnacentral:rRNA from 1 species